ensembl:lncRNA
AAUAAAGAAGUUAAAGUAAGCUGGGUCUGUGAUUUUUGGAGAUGGGUUUUGAACCCAUGUCUCCAUUGCAAGCUCAUGCUCAGAGAAUGUGUGUUUAUCCACUUACCCAUCAUGGAUUCCUCGUUGUUUUUUGGCGUUUGAGUGACUUUGUUGUCUGAGAUCAACGUAAAGUAAGCAGUAGUGGGAUUUGAACUCCGAGCUCCCGGAUUACAAUGCAAAGUUUUAUCUUCUGAGCCACUGAGUCUGUGGAGCUAAAGCACCACAGGAGGACGAAACCAGUUUAAGUUCAUUAGACUUGAUUGUAAUUCACAAAAAUCACCACACGAGGGCGAAACCAGUUUAGGUUCAUUAGACUCGAUUGUAAUUCACAAAAAUCACCACAGCAUGGCGAAACCAGUUUAAGAUCAUUAGACUCGAUUGUAAUUCACAAAAAUCACCACAGGAGGGCGAAACCAGUUUAAGAUCAUUAGACUUGAUUGUAAUUCACAAAAAUCACCACACGAGGGCGAAACCAGUUUAAGAUCAUUAGACUCGAUUGUAAUUCACAAAAAUCACCACACGAGGGCGAAACCAGUUUAAAUUCAUUAGACUCGAUUGUAAUUCACAAAAAUCACCACAGGAGGGCGACACCAGUUUAGGAUCAUUAGACUCGUUUGUAAUUCACAAAAAUCACCACAGCAUGGCGAAACCAGUUUAAGAUCAUUAGACUCGAUUGUAAUUCACAAAAAUCACCACAGGAGGGCGAAACCAGUUUAAAUCAUUAGACUCGAUU